UGUCCACUCCUUUCUUUGUUAAUUUUUUAUUUAGUUUUAUUCUUUUUUGCUAAUGUACGGAGUCCAUUGGACACCUUGAGUCUCCUUCUCUGUUAUAAAGAUCAUUUUGCUUUUACCUACAUUAUUGGAGAUGCUCUAAUGAGAAGUGUGAGAUGAUGACUCGACAACCAGGUUGCCAUCUACCAUUUUAUAAACAACAAUUCCAAACUUCAAUGGUUUCAAAGUGUCACUUAGUUCGUUUUCCUCUUAACCAGUUCAACUGAACCCAGCACAUGAAGUUUCGACAGACUGAGGGCUUACAGGGUUGCAAGCUACUUGGUGCAAAGGUCGGGUGUUAGUGCGAUGGUAAGUUUUUUCCACCAAGAACCACAUAUUGUGGGUCAAAAUAAGACCUCACAAAAGUUACAACAUUUUCCUUUGUUUGUUAACCAUCUACUCUUUUCUUUAUUUUUUUUUAAUUGAUAAUUUCAAUAGUUUUGAGAUGAGAAAUUUGAACCUGAAUUGGGAAAUAUGAACUUGAAUGGCUCUUUCGUAUA